rnacentral:ncRNA from 2 species
UUUAAUUCUCAGGGCGGGGCGCAAUUCCCCACCGGCGGUAAUCCUCACUGAUAACAGUGAAGAGAGCCCGCGAGCGCUUAUUUGGCAUUUUUUAGUGUCAUUAAGGUCAGCAGAUCUGGUUAAAUUCCAGAGCCGACGGUUACAGUCCGGAUGGAAGAGAAUAAAC